CCGGAGGGUGCAAGCGUUGCUCGGAAUUAUUGGGCGUAAAGGGUAGGUAGGUGGUCUCGUUUGUCUGAGGUGAAAGCCCAGGGCUUAACCCUGGAAGUGCCUCAGAAACGGCGAGACUGGAGUCCUGGAGAGGGUCGUGGAAUUCCCGGUGUAGCGGUGAAAUGCGUAGAGAUCGGGAGGAACACCAGAGGCGAAGGCGGCGACCUGGACAGGCACUGACACUCAACUACGAAAGCGUGGGGAUCAAACAGGAUUAGAUACCCUGGUAGUCCACGCUGUAAACGAUCGGUACUAGAUUAAGCGGGUCUUAACCCCUGCUGAGUCGGAGCUAACGCGAUAAGUACCGCGCCUGGGGAGUACGGUCGCAAGACUA
rnacentral:rRNA from 1 species